rnacentral:rRNA from 1 species
UCUGUGGGAUCAGUGGCGAACGGGUGAGUAACACGUGAGCAACCUGCCCCUGACUCUGGGAUAAGCGCUGGAAACGGCGUCUAAUACUGGAUAUGUGACGUGACCGCAUGGUCUGCGUCUGGAAAGAAUUUCGGUUGGGGAUGGGCUCGCGGCCUAUCAGCUUGUUGGUGAGGUAAUGGCUCACCAAGGCGUCGACGGGUAGCCGGCCUGAGAGGGUGACCGGCCACACUGGGACUGAGACACGGCCCAGACUCCUACGGGAGGCAGCAGUGGGGAAUAUUGCACAAUGGGCGCAAGCCUGAUGCAGCAACGCCGCGUGAGGGACGACGGCCUUCGGGUUGUAAACCUCUUUUAGCAGGGAAGAAGCGAAAGUGACGGUACCUGCAGAAAAAGCGCCGGCUAACUACGUGCCAGCAGCCGCGGUAAUACGUAGGGCGCAAGCGUUAUCCGGAAUUAUUGGGCGUAAAGAGCUCGUAGGCGGUUUGUCGCGUCUGCUGUGAAAUCCGGAGGCUCAACCUCCGGCCUGCAGUGGGUACGGGCAGACUAGAGUGCGGUAGGGGAGAUUGGAAUUCCUGGUGUAGCGGUGGAAUGCGCAGAUAUCAGGAGGAACACCGAUGUCGAAGACAGAUCUCUG